AGCUGGCGGCAUGCCUAAUACAUGCAAGUCGAACGCUUGGCUCUGGUUCGCUGGGGCCAAGAGUGGCGCACGGGUGAGUAGCGCGUGGGAACCUGCCCUGUUGUGGGGGAUAACCGAGGGAAACUUCGGCUAAUACCGCAUGCGCCCCGGGAAACCGGGGGAAAGAUUUAUCGCAGCAGGAGGGGCCCGCGUCGGAUUAGCUUGUUGGUGGGGUAACGGCCCACCAAGGCGAUGAUCCGUAGCUGGUCUGAGAGGAUGAUCAGCCACACUGGGACUGAGACACGGCCCAGACUCCUACGGGAGGCAGCAGUAGGGAAUAUUGGACAAUGGGCGCAAGCCUGAUCCAGCAAUGCCGCGUGAGUGAUGAAGGCCUUCGGGUUGUAAAGCUCUUUCGCCCGCGACGAUGAUGACGGUAGCGGGAGAAGAAGCCCCGGCUAACUUCGUGCCAGCAGCCGCGGUAAUACGAAGGGGGCGAGCGUGGUUCGGAUUUACUGGGCGUAAAGGGCGCGUAGGCGGCGCCGGAAGUCGAGUGUGAAAGCCCCGGGCU
rnacentral:rRNA from 1 species